UUUCUUUUCCAGAUUUCUGCUCAUGCAAUAGCUCAAAAGUGGGAACAAUGAACUAAUUUAGAAACAGAAAGUCAUGAGGCGGGCAGGUCACUUAAGGUCAGGAGUUCAAGACCAGCCUGGCCAACAUGGCAAAACCCCGUCCCUACAAAAAAUAAAAAAAUGAUCCGGGUGUGGUGGUGUGCACCUGUAAUCUCAGCUACUCAGGAAGCUGAGGCGAGAGGAUCGCUUGAAUCCGGGAGGCAGAGGUUGCAGGGAGGCGGAGGUUGCAGUGAGCCGAGAUUGCACCACUGCACUCCACCCUGGGUGACAGAGUGAGACUCAGUCAAAGAAAAGAAGAAAGAGAGAGAGAAGAGGAAGAAGAAAGAAGAAGAUGAGGAGGAGGAAGAGAGGAAGGGCAGGAGGGUGGGAGGGUGGGAGGGAGGGAGUGCAAUACUGCAUGUUCUCACUUAUAAGUGAGAGCUAAACAGUGGGUACAUAUGGUCAUACAGAUGGAGUGACAGACUCUGGAGACCCCAAAAGAUGAGAGGGUGGGAGGCUGGUGAGGGCUGGAAAACCACCUUUUGGGUAAAAUGUUCAUUAUUCAGGUGAUGGGAGCACUACAGCCCAGAUGUCACCACUAUGGAAUGUGUGCACGUAAGAAGCCUACACUUGUACCCUCUAAAUAUAUAUAUUUUAAAAAGUGGAAACAACCCAGAUAGCUAUCAGAAUGUAUUAUAGCUAUACAAUAGACUACUACUUAGCUAUGAAAAUGAACUAUUGGUUCCAUUUAUAUAAAAUUCUUGAAAAUGCAAAUUAAUUGAUAGUGACAGAAAAUCGCUGGUUGCCUGGUGACAGGUAGUGGCACUGGAGGAUGUGAGCAGUGGUGGAAGGGAGAGAUGCCCAAGAUGCACAAAGAAACUUUUGUAGGUGAUGGACAUGUGAUAGUGGGGAUGGGAUGGUGUCACAGUGUGCACCCCUCUCGAAUCCAUCAAGUUAUCUAUUUUAAAUUGUGUAGUGCAGUGCACAUCAAUUAUACCUCAAUAAAAUAGUAAAAUUAAAAGUGUACAUAUACACCAUAGCAUCUUGCUUUGUUCACUUAAUUACAGAUCUUGACUGAUUCAUAUCUAGACGAAUAAAUCUAUUCUUUAAAAAUACUGGAUAUUAGACAUUCCAUAGAUAUGCGGUAUCUUUUUACAAAUCAUUCCCCUUUUAAAGAACGUCUAAGUAGGUUGAACUAUUUUGCUACUGCAUGUUAUGUUUAACAGAGUACCUAUGAUUUGUGUGUGUGCGUGUGUAUGUUUCUAUCUAUUUAUCUAUCUUUGUGCACAAGUAGGGGGUUUUUCCAUAGGACAAAUACCUAGAAAUAGAAUUUCUUAGAUCAAAUGGCUUAUGCAUUUAGAAUUUUGUUAGGUAACUUUUAGGUUGACCCCCAAAGAUGUUGGACCAACUUAUACUCCCAUCAGCAAAGUAUGAAUAGAUUUCCGUUUCUUCCCCAGGCUCAUCAAUGCACCGUGUGGCCAAACAGAACAGAAGCUUGUUUUUCAUUCACGCUACCUCCUCCUCUCAGAGCUGGCAGGAGUUCUUGUCCACAUUGUUAAGCGGGGUCAUUGAUGACUGAACUUCCCACAUUUUGUGACAGCAGCAUCUAGAAUAUGCAGCACUCUCCAUCAUCAUGAGAGAAAAAGAGAUUGGAGAAUCACCCAGAGCUCUUUAUUGCCUCAGCCAAAUAAGUGACACAUGUCAUGUCUCACGAUUCAUUGGCCAGAACUAGUCCCGUGGCCCUGUCUGACUGCAAGGGAGCUGGACAACGUGAAGGAGCAGGUGGAAUAUUGGAUAUUUAAAUACCACUGCUUUAGUACAGUGGUUAAGAGUAAAGUAUUUGAAGUUAUAAGGAGGUUGGUUCAAAAAAUAAUGACUUUGCAGACAGGCGCGGUGGCUCACGCCUGUAAUCCCAGCACUUUGGGAGGCUGAGGCAGGCAGAUCCCUUGAGGCCAGGAGUUCAAGACCAGCCUGGCCAACAUGGUGAAACCCCAUCUCUACUAUAAAAACCAAAAAAAAUUAAUCGGUUGUGGUGGCACAUGCCUAUAGUCCCAGCUACUCGGGAGGCUGAGUCAGGAGAAUCGUUUGAACCUGGGAGGCAGAGGUUGCAGUGAGCUGAGAUGGCGCCACUACACUCCAGCCU
rnacentral:lncRNA from 1 species